rfam:Bombyx mori DNA, contig: Bm_scaf97_contig35458, strain: p50T/Dazao, build 2, whole genome shotgun sequence.
CUAACUCAAAUUUGUAUGGAGUUGAAAUAUUUGCCUACGUUUGUCGCUAGGGGCGCUGUUCCAACUGAAUACAAAUUUGAGUUG